UGGCUGGAGGAGGACGUCUGCCGCCGCGCAUGUACGCGUGUAGUCGUGAACGUCGCGGCAUGUACGUUUCCUGGGCCACAGGAGGACCAUGUGCGUCACACUCUCAGCGAAGUGUUAUAGUGACCUGUAAUAGUCUCCUCUGACCUGACCAGCCUGGUUUGUAGUGACGUAGAGGUUUUGAUCAGUCCAUUAUUGUUUGGGUGCCGCGACCCGUGACCUGCGUGACACUGAGAUGGUGACGCAGGUCAUUGAUGGGCUGAAAGGUACAACAUGACCUGUGCGGCACUGAUGUGACCUGCAGGACAACAUGGAGGCAUCACGCCAACCCAUGGAGGUCAUCAUGACCUGUGUGGAAGGCUGACAUGAUUCGGUGGUCAGGCUGACGUUACAUUGUGGUCAGGUCAAAGUUCAAGUGACGUUUCGGUAACCUGCGGCACGAGAUCAGGUCAAGCAGUGUGGUAAGCCAGGCACUGCUGUGGAGUGGUGGUGCAGGAUAAUCGUGGCGGCGUGACAAGCUAGAAGAGAUAGUGUGGCAUCGCUGUAGCCUGCAGGUGACAGGAGUGGCACUGUGACGGCAGCCCAGCACGCUGCGGAUUAGUGUGACCUCGCAGCAUCAUAAGGAUAAAUACAUGUGACUUGUGACAGCCUAGGGAGACUAAUAAAGGUGACCACGUGACAAAGAGAAAAUAGGUGUGACGUUGUGAUGAUUUAGCCAAGUGUGGUUUUGCGGACAGCCUGUAGUGUACAAGUGUGACCGUGUGACAGUCUGCGUCAAACAAGCAUAGGUGUGGUAACGUGACAGCUUGUCCUGAGCGACUGUGGCCACAGUAGCCUACAGCAGGGAUGGGCUCUUCGGAGACCAGCGAAAGCGAGGCAUGGUCUCUCCCUCAGCAGCCUUGGUUCAACGAGACAUCGGGCACGCUGCUCAAUGACACAGCCAGGCCAGCAAUAGAGGGCACAUGGGCGGCACUAGCGGGCGUGGGCGUGGGCGGGAACCUUCUAGUGGCUGGAGCGUUCCUGAUACGCCCAUGGAACCGCACACCCCUGCAAGUGGACAGGGUGAUUGGCCUGCUGGCCCUCACCGGCCUGGCCACCACCCUCUCCUCGCUGCCCACACACCUGUACUCUGCCUCGGGUCACGGGUCGAUGUGUCAGGUCCAAGGUUUUCUGCUGAACCUGCUGUGCCUGCUGUCGCUGUGGUACACGACCCUGCUGGCGCUGGAGAGGUACGUGAAGUUCGCCUCCCCGCAUGAACACUCGCUGACCUUCUCGCUGCUCAACCUGAACGUACUAUUGUGCGGGGUGCUGGUGCUGCUGCUGAUCGAGGUGUCCGGCCCGAUCUAUGGCUGGGCGGAGUACGGCUACGUGCCAGAAUGCGGCGUGUGCGUUCUCAACCCGGGAUCGACACACAUCCUUACGUACACAGCGAUACAAACAGGGUGUUACGUGAUGUUGCCGAGUCUGGUCACGCUGGCGGCGUCAGCGGCGGUGCUACGAAGGUGCCACGCCAGCCCGACGCCCCUCACCCGCGGCUCCCAGGUGCUCAAGUCAGCAGGGGGAGUCUGCGUGUUAUGCUGCGCCAUGCUGUCUUCUGUGCUCCUAAUGCUCCCCUACCACCUUCUGCUACUCCUUCAGGCGGCUGCUCUCAACAUCCCCUUCUGGGCCAAGGUGGUGUCCUACUGGCUCAAGAUCGUCGCCCUCACAUGUGUGUACCCUCUCGUGCUACUCACUGCGAGGCCUAGAGAUGUAUGGCCGCCGCUGAUGGCCACCCUCAGGAGGCUGUCCCAAUGGCAGGAGGGUGGCGGGGGACCAUGUCGGUGGCAGCGGAGAGGGCAGGGCGCAGCCGAGCAGCAGGAUGUUCGCCUCUCCAGCCUGGACGCCCAUCCACCCUCAGACAAGAACGCCUCCUUCAAGUUGUCACGCCCGCCCUCCCCCUCCAAUGGCGACAAGGAUGCCUCCGUCACCAGGCUGUAGAGCGCCAGCAGGCCACCGCCAGUCUGCAGAAAGAAUGUGUUUAAUUAGUUUGUGAUGAAUGUCAGGCUGCAAGGUUCGCCACUCUGGUGCAGGACAUUACAGGGCGUGCUAUUGAUCAAACUGUAGGACUCAAGGGAGGAGUGCAGGAUGCGUCACCAAGCUGCACGCCAUGUCACCAAGCUGAGGCGUUGUCAGGUAUGGGCAGCACUGGGAGUAAUUUCCUGGUCCAGUGAACUAACAUGUCAUUACACACGUCUGCACUCCAUCCGCCCGCCAGCCCACUUCACCAUGCCCCCUCCUCACACUCCGCCCAAUCACUCCCCACGCCUACUCGCGCCCAGUAUUCUGCCCAACUCGUUAAAGGCGGUGAGUCAAAGGAGCAACUCAUGUGACGGUGGUGGUGGUGGUGGUGGUGGUGACGUCACAUGUUUCCAGGAUAGGAACGUGAUAUAUUGUGCAAAAAAAGAGGAAAAGAUAUACGUGUGUGUGUGUGUGUGUGUGUGUGUGUGUGUGUGUGUGUGUGUGUGUGUGUGUGUUUGUGUGUGUGUGUGUGUGUGUGUGUGUG
rnacentral:misc_RNA from 1 species